UUCCCCUCAUCCUACGUCGAGGUCUUUCUGGACUCCAACGCCAAAGAUUCGUAAAGUAUGGAAGGAGGACUCAGUGGUGCAGGGCAAACAGCAGCCAUAUGUGCGGAAAACUACAGCCUACUCUCCAUGAACCGCCCUAGAGUGAGACAGAUGAGAGACAGACACAAAACAAAGAGAGGAACAGAGGAA